GAUGAGAAAAUAAUGACAACAUUUUUAUUUUUGGGUUAACUAUCCCUUUAAAUGAAGUUCUUAGGAACUGCUUCCAAAAAAAAUAAGUUUUGAUAUAUUUAUGGUAGGAAAUGUACAAAAUAUCUUUAUGGAACAUGAUCUUUACUUAAUAUCCUAAUGAUUUUUUGCAUAAAAAAUUAUCAUUUUAAAUCAUACAAUGUUUUGAUGGCUAUUACUACAAAUAGUGCUACCUUAUUUGUAGUUUCAGUCUAAAAGAGUACAAUUUAUGUAGGCCUAAACACCCAGAUGCUCUAAUUUGUCUUGUAGGGAUCUUAUACUAUGAUAUCAGCUAAAAUAUAAACAGUGACCAAGUAUAAAAUGCAUUCAUUCAAGUUUAUUACCAUUCCAGAUGCAUUCUGGGAGAACGCUGUUAAUAAGGGCCAGCCAUUAGUCUUGGAGGCAGGAGCCAAACUCUUUGCUAAUAACUAGACUCUCUCAGCUGUUGCUUGGCAACGGUGUCUCCCAAGAAGCGGAAGAGGAUGUCAUUCAUACGGGGGACUGGUGUCGCACAUGAGGGGGGAACCGACUUUAAUCCUCUUCCUGUUGAUUCCUCUUAGGAUUCCGUUUGUCCUCUUCCCACGUUGACUCAAAUACUUGGCCUCAUGUAACAUCCUGUGUGGAAGAGCCGAAACAAUAACGGACAAGCACGUCUAAACCUGGGAACUACACUGUGACAAACGUAACAUCACACCUUAGUCAAAACAAACACAAGAUGGAGUGGAAAUCAUAUUGCUAAUCCCUGUGCAUCUUGUAUGAAUUCACCUUUGAUCUGGGAUGCCACACACAAUAAAACUCAGCAUACUUCUAUUCAUUUGAGAAUGGACACCAGAUGGGUGGGAAGAUUCAGCUCAAGUGGUCAACAUCAGUACCAUUGUUAAAGCAGUGCCGGUCCAUCCAGCAGUGGAAAAUUUCAAAGAAAAAUGCAACAAGGAUGAAUCCAAUUUCUAACCGCACGGAAAGCUGAGACACCAUUUGGGAUUGGCAGCUCUCGCCAUUGUAAAAUUGGAAGCAUCCUAUUGUUUUGCUUUGCUUAUGCUUAUAUAAACAUCAGGGAGUGGGCAGGUCUCUCAGGAAACAUGACUGCGCAUGAUAUCCAAAGUGCCCUGGAGGUGAAGACCGACCAAUCCGGGAAUGUCGACCAUCGUUAACAAAACAUCACACGUUUUCAACCCCUCCGUGUGUGUGUGUGAUGGUUGGCAUUCCUCGCUCUCGCUGAGCUUGGGGUGUUUGCGGGAAUCAUAUGUGAUUUUUUUUGUUCUACCUGUACUUAUAACUCCUGCCAGGUAACAGCGGGAGAAAGAUCCAUGCAGGGAUGAUCAAAACUAUAUUAUUUUUCUAGAACAUAUCGCAAUUCGUUAUUAUUUUAAGAAGUAGCUUGAAUUCUUACAAUUGCAUUCGUACAUUUUAGUACAAUCUGCUUUGACAUUUGGU